rnacentral:lncRNA from 1 species
AUGUACCACCACUUGUACACUCACUACCCUGUAGAAACUACUACCUUAGGAACCGCUUCUGUAGAAAGUACUACCCCCUUCACCACUUCUGAAGAAACGACUACCCUUGGCACCACUUCUGUUAAAACUACACCUUCAGUUAGUUCAACGCAAGUAGUAUUGGAAACAUCCACAUUUGAAAUGAGACCUGCUGAAACAACAACCUCAGUUGUGUCUACACCUGGCAUAGCAUCUGCUGGUGGAAGCACAAUGUAUCAAGCUGCCACUUGGCACCACCACUGCAGACACCACUAUCAUUGGCACCACUUGUGUGAUAAAAACAACUAUGACAGAUACCGAUUCCUUAGAAUGUACCACCACUUGUACACGCUCUACCCUGUAGAAACUACUCCUGCAGAAACUACUGCCCUUGGCACAACUCCUGAAAAAACUACUACUCUGGGCACCACUUUUAAAGAAACUACUACCCUUGGACCUGCUUCUAUUAAAACUACACCGUCAGUUAGUUCAACGGGAUUAGUAUUGGAAACAUCCACAUUUGAAAUGAGACCUGCUGAAACAACCUCAGUUGUGUCUACACCUGGCAUAGCAUCUGCUGGUGGAAGCACAACGUAUCAAGCUGCCACUUGGCACCACCACUGCAGAAACCACUAUCAUUGGCACCACUUGUGUGAUAAAAACAACUAUGACAGAUACCGAUUCCUUAGAAUGUACCACCACUUGUACACACUCUACCCUGUAGAAACUACUCCUGCAGAAACUACUGCCCUUGGCACAACUCCUGAAAAAACUACUACUCUGGGCACCACUUUUAAAGAAACUACUACCCUUGGACCUGCUUCUAUUAAAACUACACCAUCAGUUAGUUCAACGGGAUUAGUAUUGGAAACAUCCACAUUUGAAAUGAGAACUGCUGAAACAACAACCUCAGUUGUGUCUACACCUGGCAUAGCAUCUGCUGUUGGAAGCACAACGUCUCAAACUGCCACUUGGCACCACCACUGCAGAAACCACUAUCAUUGGCACCACUUGUGUGAUAAAAACAACUAUGACCGAUACCGAUUCCUUAGAAUGUACCACCACUUGUACACACACUACCAUGUAGUAUCUAAUACCCUGGGCACAACUCCUGCAGAAACUACUACUCUGGGCACCACUUCUGUAGAAAGUACAGCUUCAGUUAGUUCAACAGGAUUAGUAUUGGAAAUAUCCACAUUUGAAAUGAGACCUGCUGAAACAACAACCUCAGUUGUGUCUACACCUGGCAUAGCAUCUGCUGUUGGAAGCACAACGUCUCAAACUGCCACUUGGCACCACCACUGCAGAAACCACUAUCAUUGGCACCACUUGUGUGAUAAAAACAACUAUGACCGAUACCGAUUCCUUAGAAUGUACCACCACUUGUACACACACUACCCUGUAGAAACCACUUCUGAAAAAACUACUACCCUUGGCACUGCUUCUGUUGAAACUACACCUUCAGUUAGUUCAACGCAAGUAUUAUUGGAAACAGCCACAUUUGAAAUGAAACCUGCUGAAACAUCAACCUCAGUUGUAUCUACGCCUGGCAUAACAUCUGCUGUUAAUGUCACCACAUCUCAAACUGCCACUUGGCACCACCACUGCAGAAACCACUAUCAUUGGCACCACUUGUGUGAUAAAAACAACUAUGACAGAUACCGAUUCCUUAGAAUGUACCACAUCUUGUACACACACUACCCUGUAGAAACUACUACCCUGGGCACAACUCCUGCAGAAACUACUGCCCUUGGCACAACUCCUGAAGAAACUACUACCCUUGGACCUGCUUCUAUUGAAACUACACCGUCAGUUAGUUCAACGGUAUUAGUAUUGGAAACAUCCACAUUUGAAAUGAGAACUGCUGAAACAACAACCUCAGUUGUAUCUACACCUUUUAUAGCAUCUGCUGUUGGAAGCACAACGUAUCAAACUGCCACUUGGCACCACCACUGCAGAAACCACUAUCAUUUGCACCACUUGUGUGAUAAAAACAACUAUGACAGAUACCGAUUCCUUAGAAUGUACCACGACUUGUACACACACUACCCUGUAGAAACUACUCCUGCAGAAACCACUUCUGUAGAAACUACUCUGGGCACCACUUCUACAGAAACUACUUACCCUACUACGUGA